rnacentral:tmRNA from 1 species
GGGACUGAAAGGAUUUCUACAUAUUGAUAUCUUAUCUAUUUUUUAUUUAACUAAACGAGUUUAUUAAUUGUUUAUGUUUUUAAUUUAAUUAUUUAUAUAAUUAUAUUAAAAGCCACUAAAACAAAAAAAAUUAAUUGCAAAACACAAUAUUAUAUCUUUUUCUAAAAAUUUAUUAUUAAUAUAAAUUAUUGAAAUUUUAAGUUUUACUUUUCUGCUUCAAUUUAUUAAUUUAUUUAUAGAAUGCUCUAAUUGUAUUUUUUUAAUUAGUAAAGUAUAAAUUAUUUUAAUUCAAAUGUUUAGUUAUUAUGUUAUAGUUAAAUAGUUAUUAGUGAAUUAUGCUAUCAAUAUGGACGUGGGUUCAAAUCCCACCAGUUCCA